UACGUAGGGGGCAAGCGUUGUCCGGAUUUAUUGGGCGUAAAGAGCGUGUAGGCGGUUAGGUAGGUCCGUUGUGAAAACUCGAGGCUCAACCUCGAGACGCCGAUGGAAACCCCCUAACUAGAGUCCGGAAGAGGGGAGUGGAAUUCCUGGUGUAGCGGUGAAAUGCGCAGAUAUCAGGAAGAACACCCGUGGCUAAGGCGGCUCUCUAGUACGGUACUGACGCUGAGACGCGAAAGCGUGGGGAGCGAACAGG
rnacentral:rRNA from 1 species